GAAUAUGAGGGCGAUCUGGCUGCAACAUCUGUCACCCUACUGAUUUCCAGGGUUGAUUCAGAUGAUUUGGCUGGCUAGGCAGGUGUCUCCUUCCUCCUUCACUGCUCCAUCUGUUUCCCUCCUGAAGCUGUGCCCUCUGCCAAAGAAGAGCACCACUCCACUUCUCGGUCAGGGAUACGAAUGAGUAGCUGCACUUCCUUACUAGAACCUAUAAACAAGUUCUCAAGAAUAUAUGAGAAGUCUAUGUAGUUAAAAAUGGUUAAACGUCCAACACAAAAAGCUAAGAAGUAGAAAUACAACUACUUGCUU
rnacentral:snRNA from 1 species